CUAGUAGUGAUAUUUCGUACUUUCACACCAGACUCUACAUCACCUAUGUUUCCUGAUCAAAGACUCAGACACAAAUAUUCAUCAAAAACUUACAGUCGUUUGUUUAUUAGUAAUAUAACAAAAGAUGAAUUAGGAAUAUAUUAUUGUGCAAAACUAUACUCACAAGCACUAAAGAUCGGCAAUGGAACCAAACUUUACAUCGCUGAAGCUGCCUAUCAGAAUGAGACAGAAGAGAAUGAUCAACUACAACACAACAACACAACCACAACACAACAUUCACCUCUGACACUUAGAUCCAUCUCAUUGAACGUCCUGCUCCUCAUCAUAAUAAUAGGUCUGUUGAUGCAAAGAUAUCGGAAACUAAAGUGUAAAACCACAGCCGAAUGCUGAAGUCAAGCUUGAGCAGUUUGAGGACCUGAAUACAGUCGUGGUAAGACCAACUCCAAACUUGAAAAGGAAAGUGUUUAAACAGCUAACAUAUAUUUUCCGUUCAUAUAGUUUACAGAAGUGGAGUUUCAUCUGUGUGAAUAACAUUGCAGUGAGGCCGGCAGCAUUUUUACAUCACAAACCAACAACAAAAUAAAGACAAACACAAAAUUAAU